GACUAACGCUGGCGGCGUGCCUAACACAUGCAAGUCGAACGCAUCUGUGCUUCGGUACAGAUGAGUGGCGAACGGGUGAGUAACACGUGAGUAACUCCCCUGGGGGAGGGGGAUAACCAUCUGAAAAGGUGGCUAAUACCCCAUAUUCUCUUUUCUCAUAAGAGGAAAGAGGAAAGAUGGCGUAAGCUAUCACCCCGAGAGAGGCUCGCGUCCCAUCAGCUAGUUGGUAAGGUAAGAGCUUACCAAGGCUAUGACGGGUAGCUGGUCUGAGAGGAUGGUCAGCCACACUGGGACUGAGACACGGCCCAGACUCCUACGGGAGGCAGCAGUGGGGAAUCUUGGACAAUGGGCGAAAGCCUGAUCCAGCGACGCCGCGUGGAGGAAGAAGUCCUUCGGGAUGUAAACUUCUGAACUAGCCGAAUAAAAGGCCUGUGGACACACAGGAGAAGAAAGUAGGCUAGGAAAAGUCCCGGCUAACUACGUG
rnacentral:rRNA from 1 species